UUUUCCAAAAUGAAGAAAAUAAGAAGAAAAAAAAGACAAGAAGACCUGAGAUGUACUGUGAGACAGCCAUAUAUGACAGAAGUUUCCUGCAUGUGAAGUCUUACUAUAACCGGGAGAUGGCACAAGAGAGCCUUCCAACGUUUCACGAUGUCCGCGCCGCACUGUGAGCAAAGUUCAGAAAACUGCUUUAUAUAAGCAGCCAGGAGCCGGCCCGUACAACCCAGCAGCCUUGGCAUUUACUUCUUUCCGGUUCACAACUUUUUCCUUCAGCCCCUUCUCUCUGGUGUCUAUGCUGCGAUGCUGCAGCCCCAGCAACGCGCAAUGCCUGCCUCGGGCUGUCUCGGGAGCAGAGCGCUCAGGCCAGAGAAGAGGAGGCUUAGAAGAUACGUUUAGACAGAGGCUCGUCUGCUUGAAAUGAAAAAAAACCAUCUCUCGAAGACCCGGGUCCUUGCGCGCUCCCCCGGGGUGCAUUCCCCAGUGCCAUUUGAGGCUGCUCAGCACCAUAAAUGCCAUUUGCAUCGGGAUAGGUUGCAACAGGAGCUGUAAAUCACUGACGGUGGAGCGAACACCUCCAGGGGCAGACACGGCGGAGCCGGGCCUCCUCGAGCUGUGGCAAUGUGUGAACGGUAUCUUUUGUUGAGGGGGGGACUGAUGGCAAUUAGAU
rnacentral:lncRNA from 1 species